rnacentral:tRNA from 1 species
GCAGUGGUGGUUCAGUGGUAUAAUUCUAACCUUACAUGUGGGAGACCUGAGUUUGAUUCCUGGCCAAUGCA